GCCAGUGUGGCCUAGUGGUUUGAGUGUCUGACUAUGACCCUGGAGACCAGGCUUUGAUUCCCCGCUUGGCCA